UACAGAGGUCUCAAGCGUUUGUUCGGAUUCAUUGGGCGUAAAGGGCGCGUAGGCUGCGGGGCAAGUCGGGUGUGAAAUUUCGAGGCUUAACCUCGAAACUGCAUUCGAUACUGCGGUGCUUGAGGACUGGAGAGGAGACUGGAAUUCAUGGUGUAGCAGUGAAAUGCGUAGAUAUCAUGAGGAAGACCAGUGGCGAAGGCGGGUCUCUGGACAGUUCCUGACACUGAGACACGAAGGCCAGGGGGAGCAAACGGGG
rnacentral:rRNA from 1 species